ensembl:snRNA U6 U6 spliceosomal RNA
GUGCUCGCCUCGGGCAGCACAUGGACUAAAGUUGGAAGGAUACAGAGAAGAUUAGCAUCGCCCCUCCGCAAGGAUGGCACGCAAAUUCAUGAAGCAUUCUGUAUCUUU